rnacentral:rRNA from 1 species
GACGAACGCUGGCGGCGUGCCUAAUACAUGCAAGUUGAGCGCUGAAGGUUGGUACUUGUACCAACUGGAUGAGCAGCGAACGGGUGAGUAACGCGUGGGGAAUCUGCCUUUGAGCGGGGGACAACAUUUGGAAACGAAUGCUAAUACCGCAUAAAAACUUUAAACACAAGUUUUAAGUUUGAAAGAUGCAAUUGCAUCACUCAAAGAUGAUCCCGCGUUGUAUUAGCUAGUUGGUGAGGUAAAGGCUCACCAAGGCGAUGAUACAUAGCCGACCUGAGAGGGUGAUCGGCCACAUUGGGACUGAGACACGGCCCAAACUCCUACGGGAGGCAGCAGUAGGGAAUCUUCGGCAAUGGACGAAAGUCUGACCGAGCAAAGCCGCGUGAGUGAAGAAGGUUUUCGGAUCGUAAAACUCUGUUGGUAGAGAAGAACGUUGGUGAGAGUGGAAAGCUCAUCAAGUGACGGUAACUAACCAGAAAGGGACGGCUAACUACGUG